rnacentral:lncRNA from 1 species
UCCCCUUUAUUAAUGGUCUAACACAUUCAGUCAUAUCCAUAUUUAAAGAUGUUCCCAAUAUUAAUAUAGCCAAAUACAAUACUAUGAACAGCAAACAAUUAUUCUCAAAAAUUAAAGACCCAGUACCAACCUUGUAUAGAAGUAAUGUUGUUUAUGAAAUACCAUGUCUAGGAUGUCAGAAUAGUUACAUUGGCCAAACAUCACAAUGGUUAAAGCAACGAAUCACACAACAUAAAAGUGAUUGCCGAUUAAGAAAAAAUACGUGUGCAGUAGUUGAGCAUUAUGAAAACACCGGUCAUAUGCUAGACUAUAAUAAUACUCGUAUUUUGGCACAGUCUGAUAACUAUAAAAGUAGAUUAUUUCUGGAGAUGUAUCACAUUAACAAAAAUAAAAAAAUUUAAAUUACAAAACAGACACUGGACAGUUAAGUAACAUAUAUUGUAAUAUAUUAAAUACAAUUUACAAUAAUCAUUAAGUUAACACUCGCCUUAAUAAACAACUAACCUUAAUAAUUAAAGUAAUAGUAUUCCUCUAAUUGUUCUUUUGUUGUUAUUUUUUGCGUUUGAGUCAUUUUAUGUGUUUUGUCUUAUUACUGUAACGAACGUGCUUCAGACCUUUCCUUAUAUUAAUUUUAAGAUGCAUUUUAAUAUAUGACAGUAACAAUUUUUAUUUUAAUGUCAAUGUUAUUUAUUUGUGAAAUCUUUUAACUUUCUUAUACUCCUGAAGAAGCCAUCAAAAAAAUGUGCGAAAUAUUGAGUUUUUAGAAAAAAUAAAGAUUUUUUAUUAUAGACCACAUACCUGAUAUUUCCUACAGAUUUAUUUAUUGUUUUUGGUCGAAAUAAUCACUUUGAAUAUUUAAUGAUGGGUUUUUAUCAAGAUAUCAGCCGAAUAUAUGGAACAAACACUACAAUUUUAAUGAAACAAUGGGCGAAGUUAAACA